rnacentral:pre_miRNA from 1 species
UUGCUACUCCCUCCGUUCCGAAUUACUUGUCACAGAAAUGGAUGUAUCUAGAUGUAUUUUAGUUCUAGAUACAUCCAUUUUUGCGACGAGUAAUUUGGAACGGAGGGAGUAUCUC